rnacentral:tRNA from 1 species
GGCUCGGUAGCUCAGUUGGUAGAGCAACGGACUGAAAAUCCGUGUGUCGGCGGUUUGAUUCCCUCCCGAGCCA